GUGCAUUCUUUAAACCCCCCUGUUGCUGCCUUGUAGCUUUUGGGACAAGUAAGAAUGCAAGAGAAACCAAGAACUAUCCAAAGUUAAGGGUCUUUUUGCAGUGACCUGUGACUAUUUCACCUCUUGGACAUUA